AGCGGGGUAGAGGAAUUGGUCAACUCAUCGGGCUCAUGACGCAGGUUCAAAUCCUGUCCCCGCCUGA
rnacentral:tRNA from 1 species